rnacentral:tRNA from 3 species
AAUAGAGUGUCUGAAUAAUUAAGGUUGUAAAUUGUAAAUUUAUAUAUGGUUGUAAAACCCUCUAUUA